UUUUUGUUUUUUUUUUGUUUUUUUUUAAACAUGUGGGCUUCGCCUAGCGAGCAUGACAGUUCAAGAAAUUCCUCUGAGCGUAGGUGAUUCUGGUGGCUUUUCUUGGGACUCGCUGAGCGACCCAUUCUGCUCGCCUAGCGAGCAUCACAGCUCAUGAACAAACUUUUGCUCCUUCAAGAUUAACGUUUUGACUGACGAAUAGACCCCAUUUGAAC
rnacentral:lncRNA from 1 species